GUGGGGAAUAUUGGACAAUGGGCGAAAGCCUGAUCCAGCAAUGCCGCGUGAGUGAUGAAGGCCUUAGGGUUGUAAAGCUCUUUUACCCGGGAUGAUAAUGACAGUACCGGGAGAAUAAGCUCCGGCUAACUCCGUGCCAGCAGCCGCGGUAAUACGGAGGGAGCUAGCGUUGUUCGGAAUUACUGGGCGUAAAGCGCGCGUAGGCGGCGAUUUAAGUCAGAGGUGAAAGCCCGGGGCUCAACCCCGGAAUAGCCUUUGAGACUGGAUUGCUUGAACAUCGGAGAGGUGAGUGGAAUUCCGAGUGUAGAGGUGAAAUUCGUAGAUAUUCGGAAGAACACCAGUGGCGAAGGCGGCUCACUGGACGAUUGUUGACGCUGAGGUGCGAAAGCGUGGGGAGCAAACAGGAUUAGAUACCCCGGUAGUCC
rnacentral:rRNA from 1 species